AUGACUUCAGUUCAAGUCCCAGUUGGGCUCCUGAUCAGCAGGGUGGCUGAUUUCCCAAUAAAGAGAGAGAGGAAAUGUGUAAACUUGUUGAAGUGCUCCACAAGCUCCAGCUUGCAAACCUCGCAGAGGCUGCCAUCUAUCCAGUGCAGAGACUCUCACCUAAUACAACAUACUGUACUUGAGAAUUAUUUCUUCUGCAUCCACUACUACUCCCUUAUCUGAGUGUUCUUGGAUAGUUGAAGACCUGAUUCAUGCGGCACUGAAGUGAACUAGAGUACUCACACAAUCAGUUUUCUGACUUGCUUAGUUUUUACUUUAUGAAUUGACUAUCGUCUGCCUAAGUGAACUUUCAAUUGUUCAGUAGACUUCAGUAGCUUGUUUACUUCUACUACAGUCUACUACUUGUCUACUACUACUACAGUAAACUUAACAAAAAAUAUAAUCCCUUUAAAGAAACAUCCCCUGACCUCUUUUAAAAUAAGCACUUGAUUUAAAUGCUCAAAGAAAAUGUUCCACGUUCUACUUAAUCAAUAUAGAUUAAAUAGAUACUUAUUAUAGAUUAUAGAUACUUGUCUAAGGUUACUUAGGAAUUCUAUAAUCAAGGCUACCUAUCUCCAAAAUUAUAUAAAUACCUGUAAUCAAAAAUGAACAUCUCAAGAAACUUUAAACAGUUUUAAAGACCUAAGAAAUACUGAAAUACUUUGACCUUCAAAAACAAAGCAGGAGUAAAGCCCCAUUGUAUUUUCCUAACUACAUUUUUCCUUGAAACCUGUAGAGGGAAAUAAAUAGAAUUAUACUGGACUAUCUUAGAGGUCUCUAAAACAAAAUUAUUUCUCUUUAGAAAAAAAAAAAUACAUGCUUGAAUUUUCAAUAAACCAUGUAAAAAUAAUUUUUCUCUAAGCUGGGACAAUGUUUUUCUGUCCUUUAAAAAACAAGAUGCAUUCCACUGCUGAAAAGAUGUUGUGUCUGGUUGUUUGCAUUUUAAUCAAAUACUUCACAAAGAAUCACCAUCAUUACCCACCGUCUGCAAUAAAGAACUCUACAAAAUACUUUCUGCAACGCAAUGUAACUGACAAUUAAAUAUAACUCAAACACAAAACAAAACAUAAACUAUUCAAGCAAAACAGAACAUUUAUACCCACAGGCUAGUGUUUGCUCAGUUGGAAUGGGAGAUGAUAAGUGGAAGUUUUCCUGCCUUCAAUUUACAAGAUGAUAAAGGAGAAACUUAAGCUUCUUUAAUUAACCACAAAUUUUUGGUCAUUGCAUGUAGACGUAGUGCAGCACAAGUGCUUUCUCAGCUUCAUAAAGGAUAAAAGAUAAAAUGCAUAUAAUCACUUUCACCUUAACACUGCAGUUACUCUCCUAGGGUUUGUCCACUAAAUACAUCUGUUUUGCCCUUAGCAGAGCACUAGCCAUGAGUCACAGUGUUCAGAUAUAUCAAAAGAGAUUUAAACUUCUAUCUCAGGGAAGAAAAAUUAUAAGCAAUUCAGUUUAUGUCCUGUUUGAAAGGUCAAGGAAUGGAACAGAGUAGUAUUGCAUUUAUAUAGACACAUUAAACUUCGUAGAGCGAUGCAGGCAGUAUUUGAGUUCAGCUGGGUGAACCACAUGGUCUCACAGCAGGAGAAGUAUCACUCUUAACUGCUGCAGCUCACAUACCUGCUUAUUAUCUGAGCAGCCCAGUACCUGCAGACCUGAAAUUGCUGUUUUAUGAGGAAAUUCCUGCUGUCAAGAGGUGGUAUGUUUGAGUUUUAAAAGAUACUGAGAACAGUCAGACCUGAUUUUAGAUCAAAACUUUUAAAUAAGGACCGGAAAAAUAUAACAGGAGAACUAGGGGAAAAAGCAAACAAACAAAACAAAAAAAAACAAAAACAGAAACUUGUGUUUGGUGGUAAAUAGUGAGCUAAUACUUUUCAAAGGAUUACAAUGACAGCAAAGGAACUAAGAGAGUCCAUAGUAAAAAAAGUUGGCCACUUUUAUCCUAAAGCCAAUUCAAAAAAUAAGGAACUGAUUAGAUCUUAUUUUAUUUUUAUUAAUACCUGUUCAUGUGUCCAUCUCUCUAAAAACUUAACAAGCAAUGCCAUGUCUGUGCAUCUCCAUACAUGGGUUGGAGUUCUAGACAGCCUCCAUAUUUCAAAUGUUUAGAGGAGUUUAUUUGUCAGAAGUUUACGUCAAUAUAGAAAAAUGUUUGCAACUCCAUCAUUUAAAAAUAACAACAAAAAAAAUAAUAGAAAACAAAAGAAAAAAAAACACAUUUAAAUGUCUAUUCCUAAUAAUACAGCAAAAGAAAUGGAUGUACCUAUUACAAAAGAUAUAGGAAACAUAACAACAUACUUUCUUCAUACAGUAGAUCACUAUUUAGGACAUUUAUCCUGAGUGUGGGAGGCUGGGGCUUAACUUUUGACUCUCAAAAGACAAAAUAAAAGCUUACCAUUUCCACUGGCAAUAUGCCACUUUCUCACUUCUUUUAAAUGUUAGAAUAGUCAGGAUGUCAGAGAGAGUACAGGAAGAAUUACAGUAGGAUCAAAUUCACAGAGAAGUAUGGAAUUUGUUCCGGACUUUUCAUAUAGCAGGAGGAUGUGAGAUUACUGGAUACAGGGGGAUAGCCACCAUGCUGAGUAUUUAGGAAAACUGACACAAUUUGUUAAAAAACACUUUGGUGAUUUGGUUUGUUGUUGUUGUUGUUGUGUUUGUUUUUGUUUUGUUUUGUUGGUUUUUUUUAGCAAAACAGUCUCUAGUCUUUGUUCUGUUUCACACUGACAGAUGCCAUUGUUAUUUUUCAGAUUUAUGCACUUUAAGGAUACAUGCAAUAAUCAGUUAUUCUGGGUAUAUCUAAUUAAAAUCUAUUCAAAAUAAAAGCUUUGGAGAACACAGAAGUAUGCUAACCCUAAAGGAGAAAAGAUAAUGGAGACAAUAUCAAAGACUAGAAAUCUCAGGCUACUAAUUGGCCACUGAAGGAUCCACUCAGAGCCUUGCAGAGUUCAAGCAAAACUUCUUCAGAACUUUGACUUUCUAACUGGUAAGUGAAAAAGUUGAUUUUCACAAGACUACUAGGAGUUAAAAAAAAACAAAGCAGACUUUUAUGGGAUAUUUUAGAGUGCUUGUGUGAUUCUGAAAAAUGCAUUAUGAUAUAUUUUGGGAAAAGGCCAAAGCUAGGG
ensembl:lncRNA